rnacentral:rRNA from 1 species
AGAGUUUGAUCAUGGCUCAGAUUGAACGCUGGCGGCAGGCCUAACACAUGCAAGUCGAACGGUAACAGGAAGAAGCUUGCUUCUUUGCUGACGAGUGGCGGACGGGUGAGUAAUGUCUGGGAAACUGCCUGAUGGAGGGGGAUAACUACUGGAAACGGUAGCUAAUACCGCAUAACGUCGCAAGACCAAAGAGGGGGACCUUCGGGCCUCUUGCCAUCGGAUGUGCCCAGAUGGGAUUAGCUAGUAGGUGGGGUAACGGCUCACCUAGGCGACGAUCCCUAGCUGGUCUGAGAGGAUGACCAGCCACACUGGAACUGAGACACGGUCCAGACUCCUACGGGAGGCAGCAGUGGGGAAUAUUGCACAAUGGGCGCAAGCCUGAUGCAGCCAUGCCGCGUGUAUGAAGAAGGCCUUCGGGUUGUAAAGUACUUUCAGCGGGGAGGAAGGGAGUAAAGUUAAUACCUUUGCUCAUUGACGUUACCCGCAGAAGAAGCACCGGCUAACUCCGUGCCAGCAGCCGCGGUAAUACGGAGGGUGCAAGCGUUAAUCGGAAUUACUGGGCGUAAAGCGCACGCAGGCGGUUUGUUAAGUCAGAUGUGAAAUCCCCGGGCUCAACCUGGGAACUGCAUCUGAUACUGGCAAGCUUGAGUCUCGUAGAGGGGGGUAGAAUUCCAGGUGUAGCGGUGAAAUGCGUAGAGAUCUGGAGGAAUACCGGUGGCGAAGGCGGCCCCCUGGACGAAGACUGACGCUCAGGUGCGAAAGCGUGGGGAGCAAACAGGAUUAGAUACCCUGGUAGUCCACGCCGUAAACGAUGUCGACUUGGAGGUUGUGCCCUUGAGGCGUGGCUUCCGGAGCUAACGCGUUAAGUCGACCGCCUGGGGAGUACGGCCGCAAGGUUAAAACCCAAAUGAAUUGACGGGGGCCCGCACAAGCGGUGGAGCAUGUGGUUUAAUUCGAUGCAACGCGAAGAACCUUACCUGGUCUUGACAUCCACGGAAGUUUUCAGAGAUGAGAAUGUGCCUUCGGGAACCGUGAGACAGGUGCUGCAUGGCUGUCGUCAGCUCGUGUUGUGAAAUGUUGGGUUAAGUCCCGCAACGAGCGCAACCCUUAUCCUUUGUUGCCAGCGGUCCGGCCGGGAACUCAAAGGAGACUGCCAGUGAUAAACUGGAGGAAGGUGGGGAUGACGUCAAGUCAUCAUGGCCCUUACGACCAGGGCUACACACGUGCUACAAUGGCGCAUACAAAGGGAAGCGACCUCGCGAGAGCAAGCGGACCUCAUAAAGUGCGUCGUAGUCCGGAUUGGAGUCUGCAACUCGACUCCAUGAAGUCGGAAUCGCUAGUAAUCGUGGAUCAGAAUGCCACGGUGAAUACGUUCCCGGGCCUUGUACACACCGCCCGUCACACCAUGGGAGUGGGUUGCAAAAGAAGUAGGUAGCUUAACCUUCGGGAGGGCGCUUACCACUUUGUGAUUCAUGACUGGGGUGAAGUCGUAACAAGGUAACCGUAGGGGAACCUGCGGUUG